rnacentral:rRNA from 1 species
UGAACGCUGGCGGCAUGCCUUACACAUGCAAGUCGAACGGCAGCACGGGUGCUUGCACCUGGUGGCGAGUGGCGAACGGGUGAGUAAUACAUCGGAACGUACCUUAUCGUGGGGGAUAACGCAGCGAAAGUUGCGCUAAUACCGCAUACGCCCUGAGGGGGAAAGCGGGGGACCGUAAGGCCUCGCGCGAUUAGAGCGGCCGAUGUCUGAUUAGCUUGUUGGUGAGGUAAAAGCUCACCAAGGCGAUGAUCAGUAGCUGGUCUGAGAGGACGAUCAGCCACACUGGGACUGAGACACGGCCCAGACUCCUACGGGAGGCAGCAGUGGGGAAUUUUGGACAAUGGGGGCAACCCUGAUCCAGCAAUGCCGCGUGAGUGAAGAAGGCCUUCGGUUGUUAAGCUCUUUGUCAGGAGAACAGCAACUCUAGCACAGACUGCGAAUGACGGUACCGUAGUACGAAUAAGGACACCGGCCGUAACCUAACGUAC